GACGAACGCUGGCGGCGUGCCUAAUACAUGCAAGUUGAGCGCUGAAGGUUGGUACUUGUACCAACUGGAUGAGCAGCGAACGGGUGAGUAACGCGUGGGGAAUCUGCCUUUGAGCGGGGGACAACAUUUGGAAACGAAUGCUAAUACCGCAUAAAAACUUUAAACACAAGUUUUAAGUUUGAAAGAUGCAAUUGCAUCACUCAAAGAUGAUCCCGCGUUGUAUUAGCUAGUUGGUGAGGUAAAGGCUCACCAAGGCGAUGAUACAUAGCCGACCUGAGAGGGUGAUCGGCCACAUUGGGACGGAGACACGGCCCAAACUCCUACGGGAGGCAGCAGUAGGGAAUCUUCGGCAAUGGACGAAAGUCGGACCGAGCAACGCCGCGUGAGUGAAGAAGGUUUUCGGAUCGUAAAACUCUGUUGGUAGAGAAGAACGUUGGUGAGAGUGGAAAGCUCAUCAAGUGACGGUAACUACCCAGAAAGGGACGGCUAACUACGUG
rnacentral:rRNA from 1 species